GAGAAGCCUGUGACUUAUUUCUAAUAACAGAAUAUGGCAAAGAUUGUAUUACAUGAGACUGUAGCUGCCAUAUUGCUAGAAAAUAUUAUUUUCUUGUCCCUUGCUUAUUCUGUGAAAUGAGCUUCCCUGCGGAGAGGCACAUGGGGCAAGAAUCUGAGUGUGGUCGCCUACCAGCAGCCAGCAAGAAAGCAAGAUGUUUUGUCGGAUGAUCCAGAGAGCACUAAAUCCUGCCAACAGCUACAUGAAUUUUGAAAGAGAAUCUUCCCUGAUAAGACUUCAGUGCUGGCUAACAUCCUUCUGAGGGACACCAAAGCGGAAGAGCCAGUUAAGCUGUAUCCAUAUUCCUGAUUCACAGGAACCGUGAGAACGACAGCCCAUUCUGCAAACUUCGUCUUGUGUGAAGUUUAAUAGGUCAUCGAAAUCAAAGGUGAUUUGCUCUGCAUCAACUGUACAUUUAGAAUAUGAGAAAGAAAAAUGCUGUAACAGUGCUGCAUCAGAAAGCUUUUCGGUUUUCAGAUCCAUCUGGCAUGACGAAUUUUUUCACCUUCUCUCUUUUUCCCAAUUAAAAUCCGAGUUUUC
rnacentral:lncRNA from 1 species